GAACGAAUGGAUGUUACAUAAUUUGUCGUAUGUUUAAUAUGUUGUUAUGUAAAGUGUUAAAUCAAUAAAUGAAAUGUGUGAAAAUGGUUACAAAUAUAUUUCAUGAAGUUGGUAACAAAAAUGAUUUUGAAUUUAGCCGCAGGAACGCCACAGUACUCCCCUCCCAGCGACGUACUACGUUGCGAAUCUAACUUUCUUCCUAGGACCAGAAUAUGUUCUGAGUUGUUUUCCAAGUAAGGUUGACUGAGGAAGGCUGGUUUAAGACGUUCUGUGGUGAUAUUGACAAUUUUUCCUGCAACAACAAUUGCAAAUAGAUUAUCAUUAAUUCUAUUAACAAUACGAAAAGGGCCAGAAUAAGGAGGUUGAAGAGAUUUCCUAACAGCAUCUUCACGAAUCCAAACAUGAGUGCAAUCAUAUAAAUUUUUAUGAAAGAAAGGGUCAGAUGGAAGAUCCUCUUCAAUGAAAAAUUCUCCCGGAAUUCUUAAUGUAGAUCCAUAAAGCAUUUCCGCAGGAGAUGCAUUCAAAUCUUCUUUAAAGCAAGUACGAAGUCCAAGUAAAACUGUUGGCAAAAUUUCAAUCCAGUUUUCAUUUGCGUGACACAUAAUAGCACUCUUCAAUGUACGGUGCCAUCGUUCCAGAAUACCAUUAGAAGCCGGAUGAUAAGCUGAGGUUCUAAUACGCUCGAAACCAAUUAGGUUGGUGAGAGCCUUAAAUAAUGCAGCUUCAAAUUGAGGACCUUGGUCGGUUGUGAUCGUCUGCGGAGCACCAUACCUCGCAACCCAGUGCGUAUAAAAAGCUGUAGAAACAGUAUCAGCUGAAAUUUCAGUAAGAGGGAUUGCUUCCGGCCAUCUAGAAAAUCUGUCAAUCAUGGUUAAACAAUAACGAAAAUUUUGACAAAUAGGAAGAGGUCCAAUCAAAUCUAGAUGAAUAUGCUGAAAACGCUGAUCUGGAAUAGCAAUCUUUUGAGGAAGAUUCUUGUUUGCAGGUAGAACGACCACUUGGAUGAGAUAAACCAUGAACAACAUCAAAAAUUUUCCUACGAAGCUGUUGAGGUACAUAAGGACGGAUAUUAACAGUAGAGCAGUCACAGAAAAUAGGCGUAGUCGAGCCAAGAAACUAUGAUAGGCAUCGAAACGGAUUCAAUUCUAGAGAGUGAAUCUGCAACUACAUUUUGUUUACCAGAUAUAUGCUCGAUGUUUGUUGAAAAUUGAGCAAUGAAAUCAAGAUGUCGGAUCUGUCUGGGUGAAGCUUUAUCCAAUUUUUGUUGAAAAGCAUAAAUUAAAGGUUUAUGAUCUGUCCGAAUAAGAAUUUGACGUCCUUCAAGUAUGUACCUGAAAUGCUUGAUGGCUAAAUAAAUACCAAGAAGUUCACGAUCAUGCACCAACUGCAAAAUCCGAUGCGUCACAAGUGAGGAUAAGAGGUACAGUUGAAGCCGGAUGCGCUAAAGUUGUGACUCGUAAGAGUUCUUCUUUGCAAUUUUUGAAAGCUUCUUCAGCUUCAAAAGUCCAAGUGACUAACCUUUUAUCCCUUUUCCUGCUAUCCUUAAGAUAAUCCGUAAGAACUGCCUGAUGUGAUGCAGCAUUUUUCAGACAACGACGAUGUCGGUUUAAUUCCUUGCUUGGAAACUAAAUAGCCAAGGAAAGAAAUUUCAUCCUUACCAAAGAGACAUUUGGACAAAUUAAUCGUCAUGCCGAAUUGUUUAAGCCGAGAAAACACAGUAUGAAGAUGUUUGGCAUGUUCUUUCUCAUUAACAGAAGCAAUUAAGAUAUCAUCAAGAUAACAGACACAAAAAUCAAGUCCAGAUAAUAUGAUAUUCAUAAGACGUUGAAAAGUCUGAGCAGCAUUACGCAAACCAAAAGGCAUUACAAGAAAUUCAAAAAGGCCGAAUGGAGUAGUAACAGCUGUUUUUGCAGUGAAAUCUUGAAUGUGAGGAAGCGGGUAUCGAUCUGGAACAGUAGCUGCAUUUAAAGCUCGAUAGUCGCCGCAAAGUCUCCAUGAGUUCGGUCCGUUUUUAGGAACCAUGUGAAGUGGAGCUGCCCAGGUGCUGCUUGACGGUCUACAAAUUCCUUGUUCCACCAUAAAAUUAAAUUCGUCUCUUGCAAAUUUUAAUUUUUCCGGUGACAACCUGCGAGGAGUUGAAGCAAUUGGUGGUCCUUUCGUAAUAAUAUGAUGCUCAAUUUGAUGAAUCUUGUUUGUUGAUAUAAGAGCAAAAUGAGUUAAUUCAGGAAAUUCAGCAAGGAUCUUAUGGAAAGGUGAGUCAGGAAAUGUAGUGCAAAUUGACAAGUGAUUAACUUUAGAUAGUUUUCCUUUAAAUGAAAGACCGGUAACACUAUCUAGAAGUUUUUUGUUUUUAAUGUCAACUAAAAUUCCAUAAUGACUCAAAAAAUCUGCGCCCAAUAUAGGUCUCUGAAUAUCCGCAAUGCAAAAUUUCCAUUUAAAAAUUCUUCGUAAUCCAAGAUUUACAGUUAACAUUUUUAUACCGUAAGUAUUAAUCUUGGUUCCAUUAGCUGCAUAAAGCUUGAAAGAAGCAACUUGAGCUUUUGAAACAAAUCUUUUUGGAAUCAAAGAAAUAUCAGCUCCUGUAUCAACAAGAAAAUUAAGUCCUGAAGUUUUAUCAGAAAUAAUGAGGCGAUUGUUAGGUAAACCGUUGUCAGCCGCCUCACAACUCAACGGUGAAGCUAGUUUUCCUGCCUUUCGACCAAAGAUUUAGACAUAUCACAAGAUCUGCUGCGUACACGUCUAACUUCCAGAGCUGCGAUUCUUCGCUCGAGAUCAACAAAAUUCGAAGUGUCUUUUCCUGCCGAGGAAGCUAUUGUUGCUACAUGUAGGUUAGUUUCUCGGUCCAAAAUUUUAUCAGCCAGUUCAGCAAGCUUAACUAAAGGACAAUCGUCCACAACCGCUAAAGUAGCUUGAACUUGCGAAGGAGGAUUUUCAAUCAAAUCAGCAAUAGCCAACAAAGCUUGCUCAUCAAGAUGCCGUAUAACCGAGCUAUACUUAACAUCAUCUGAGCGGAUCCGAAAAACCAAGAAUUCGCUUUCUAAUUGAGCAAACCACAAUUUAGGCUGCUUAUGCCAAAAAUUCGGCAAUUUAACAAGGCGAAAUUCGUUAGAAUGGAUCUCGUUUGGCUGACCUUGUUGAUGAGGCUCAUUACUGGCAAGAGUUUGUGUCGGAUUCGUCAAACGUUGAUGAUGUUCUCCAGCCGAUGGAACUGAUGCUGACGCUGUAGGAUUCGAAGUCGAAGAUUCGUCCAAAGGCAUCGUCAAACUCUGUCAAUACUCUGCGUUGUGAAAUUCAGAAGUCUAGUAGAUCGCUGUCCUUGGAAAUUCGAUGACUCGAAAAUCUCGUCAACUCGAAGAACACAAGCCACAAAUCACACAAGAAUCACAGCGGAACUCGAAACUCGAUGGCUCACUAAAUUCGCGGAUCACUGAUUCAAAUUCGCCACGCUUGAACAUGAAUUCUCGAAAGCCCAUAAUCACGUCGGGGUCACCAGUUGUGGUAGCGUUAUAGUUAAAUCACUAGACUUUCCUUUUUACUAAUAAAAUAUUUAAUUCACGAGUAA